rfam:Gordonia araii NBRC 100433 DNA, contig: GOARA036.
AUCGGUCCUCGGUAGUGGCCGCCGGAAGGCAUGGGUUCCCCUCGUCAUUCCGGCUGCUUCGAUCGAAGGCCGUC